UUUAAAUUGAGAGUUUGAUCCUGGCUCAGGAUGAACGCUGGCGGCGUGCUUAACACAUGCAAGUCGAGCGAUGAAGUUUCCUUCGGGAAACGGAUUAGCGGCGGACGGGUGAGUAACACGUGGGUAACCUGCCUCAUAGAGUGGAAUAGCCUUCCGAAAGGAAGAUUAAUACCGCAUAACGUUGAAAGAUGGCAUCAUCAUUCAACCAAAGGAGUAAUCCGCUAUGAGAUGGACCCGCGGCGCAUUAGCUAGUUGGUGGGGUAACGGCCUACCAAGGCGACGAUGCGUAGCCGACCUGAGAGGGUGAUCGGCCACAUUGGGACUGAGACACGGCCCAGACUCCUACGGGAGGCAGCAGUGGGGAAUAUUGCACAAUGGGGGAAACCCUGAUGCAGCAACGCCGCGUGAGUGAUGAAGGUUUUCGAAUCGUAAAGCUCUGUCUUUGGGGAAGAUAAUGACGGUACCCAAGGAGGAAGCCACGGCUAACUACGUGCCAGCAGCCGCGGUAAUACGUAGGUGGCGAGCGUUAUCCGGAUUUACUGGGCGUAAAGGGAGCGUAGGCGGAUGAUUAAGUGGGAUGUGAAAUACCCGGGCUCAACUUGGGUGCUGCAUUCCAAACUGGUUAUCUAGAGUGCAGGAGAGGAGAGUGGAAUUCCUAGUGUAGCGGUGAAAUGCGUAGAGAUUAGGAAGAACACCAGUGG
rnacentral:rRNA from 1 species